UACGGAGGAGGCAAGCGUUAUCCGGAAUUAUUGGGCGUAAAGCGUCCGCAGGGGGCACCUCAAGUCUGCUGUCAAAGACCGGGGCUUAACCCCAGAAAGGCAGUGGAAACUGAAGUGCUAGAGUGCAGUAGGGGUAGAGGGAAUUCCCGGUGUAGCGGUGAAAUGCGUAGAGAUCGGGAAGAACAUCGGUGGCGAAAGCGCUCUGCUGGACUGCAACUGACACUCAGGGACGAAAGCUAGGGGAGCGAAUGGG
rnacentral:rRNA from 1 species